GCGCGGUUGGCGCAGUGGUCUAACGCAUCACUCGAUUUGUGGGUUGAAAUUCCCAGAGAACCUCUUGCUCAAAGACCGUCGACUCUGGGGGAACAGAAUUUCAGUAGAACAGCAAAUUACUGAGUGAGGGCCCGGGUUCGAAUCCCGGACUGCGCA
rfam:Sordaria macrospora k-hell, WGS project CABT02000000 data, contig: 2.24